rfam:Trichobilharzia regenti genome assembly, scaffold: TRE_contig0011491
GUACUGCUGAAGAGUCCCAAACUAGGACGAGACAGUUGUCCAGUAA